rnacentral:rRNA from 1 species
CAAUACACUUGUAAAGCGGCGAACGGGUGAGGAAUACAUGGGUAAUCUACCAUCGAGUGGGGAAUAACCAGCCGAAAGGUUGGCUAAUACCGCGUACGCCUCCGGAUCUUCGGGUUCGGAGGGAAAGCCACACUGUGAGUGCGGCGCUCUUUGAUGAGCUCAUGUCCUAUCAGCUUGUUGGUAGGGUAACGGCCUACCAAGGCUUUGACGGGUAGCUGGUCUGAGAGGACGAUCAGCCACACUGGCACUGCGACACGGGCCAGACUCCUACGGGAGGCAGCAGUAAGGAAUAUUGCGCAAUGGGCGAAAGCCUGACGCAGCGACGCCGCGUGGGGGAUGAAGGUCUUCGGAUUGUAAACCCCUUUCGGGAGGGAAGAUGGAGCGAGCAAUCGUUCGGACGGUACCUCCAGAAGCAGCCAC